UUAGAUAAAUGUAUAAUUUGAUAGAAAUUUGGAUACAGCUUUGAGUAAUUCAGAUUAUCUAAAUAUUAAGACCAAAAUUAUUAUUCACGGGUAUUUCGUUGCUGCGAACUACUUGUUGAAACUAUAACUGAUCUCAUUUUGUAAACGAUGGAUGUUCAGUUUUAAUUUUCCUUUCGUUGUUAGUAGAAUUAAAUUAUGCUGUAAAUAAUAAUCCAUCCGCAAUAUUUAAAAGAAAUUAUUUAGUCAGAAAAAAGUUACUGUGAGAUAAAUCAAAAUGUAAUCAUCUUGUGUAGAAAUAUUUUUUUCUGAAUGUUAAAUUCGUUGUAAAACAACAUUUGAAAUUAACGUUUACCAUAUUUACGUAAUUCUCGAUUUGUUGUCGUGUAACAGAAUCUUAGUAGUCAGGAUAAAUUUAGAUCAAGUCAAAUUAUAUCAGCCUUCUGUUACUUCUGAGCUGAUGAACUGUGAUAAAAGAAUAUCUUUCUAAGAAAUAUAUCUCUUUAUCUUUAUUUAAUAUUUAGUAUAUCUAAAAGUAUAGAUAAAAUAAGUUAUAAAGAAUGAGAUUAGAGAUAAAGAUGUAAAGACAUUAAUUUUAAUUUUUAUAUAUUUGUCAUAAAUAUUUAACAUCUUUUUAAUUCGACGUUUACAAUUUACGAAAUUUAAUAACAUAUUAUUUGUUAUAGGAGAAAUAUAUUUUCUUACCAUUCAACACUUAUUUCUUAAAUAUAAUAAAUUAUUAUAUUUCUUGGUGCCUGUUUAAAAAUAAUCCAUGCCGAAUAAACUGGUGAAUACCGGUAUAAAAAUAAAUAUUAAUUUAGCAAAAUGAAUUCUUAACAUUGUCGGUGUAUUUUUUAAUUUUUCGAGGUUUCGUUAUUAUUGAAAGUUCAAGUUCAUCAAAAGUAUCAAUCCUGCUAUUGCUCAUUCAUUUAUGAAACUACAUCUUUUAUCUCUUUUUUUCAUUUCUUUAGAUGUUGUCACUUUAUUGAUGUAAUUUGCAUCGGGUCUGUGAAAGCCUUUACAUAAAUUCUAUGCAUAUUGAGAAAUAUAUAGUCGAAGCAUUAUUGAUUACGACUCAUUUAUUCUAUCUUGAAGUGUCUUAUUUAAUAAGGAAAGAAC